rnacentral:rRNA from 1 species
UUGAAAGGGAAACGAUUGAAGUCAGUCGUACCGACGAGAAAUCAGCUUAUCGUGUGUUAACUUGUGGGCGUGCGUGAGUUUCGGCCUCGCUGUUUGCAUGUUUGUGCGCUUUGGGUGUACUUUUUCGUAUGGUUGGCCAACAUCAGUUUCGAUCACUAUAAAAUGACUGGCGGAAUGUAGCUUCGAUUUCGGUUGAAGUGUUAUAGCCUCUGGUAGAUGUGGUGAUUGGGACUGAGGAUUGCAACGAAUAUCCUUUGGGCUAUCCGUCUGAUCUCUGAAAGUUGCUUAGGUGCCGAAAGCGUGCUUACGGUUAUUUAAGUUGACGGUCAAAAGGUUAGAACGUGAUUACAUUCGUUAAGGAUGUUGACGUA